rnacentral:lncRNA from 1 species
AACGAAGGAAGUCCAUUCUUAGAUUCAAGAUGGAGGCUGGAGGGAGAAGAAACCUUUGGGGCAAUACGCAGUGUCUCAGGUUGCACAUGCACUGACCUGGCCUCUCCGCUGGGGCUGGUGCAGAAAGGCUUGCGGUGGUCAAGGAUGCCAAGGCUGGUUUGUAACAGGAAACCAGGUCAGAGCCCAUGUGUGGGGACUGGUUAAACCAGCACAGCCCAUGUCCCUUACUUGAACGACGAUGAUCUCUGACUGUGACCAAUGCGGUGUGGCGGACACAGCACUGUCUUCAAAUGACUACUCAAUUAUAGGCUGGAGGAACAAGAGCCCUGCUGCGCUGCGGGUCACUCUGACCUUGGAAAAUAUCUCACUCAACUUCCUUGAGGACUGGGAGGCACUGUCAAUUACUACAGUGAUGCAAGUUUUCACAGCACUAAACGAUGACUCAGAACCAGCUACGGGAACAUUAAACAAGCCCAAAGCCAUACUAGGACCCGGGACACACCCCCAAAAGAUGCCCUUCAAAUCAGACUAAGGCUCCUCUACCCAGGAGCCUGCACCACCAGCCCUGCGGAGCUCCAGCCCCAUCUCAGUGAGCUGAUGACCCCAAAGUUCAAGGUCUCCGUGGCGUGGACCUGCAGGCUCAGCAGCCCUGGACAGCCCUCUGGACAGGGGCAAAGGACAGAAACUGCAGCCAGUCCAGUCUCCAGAGGGCAGCAGGCCAGGCAGGCUGGGAGCACUGGCCAGGCACAGACCCCAGCAGGGACCUCAGCUCCCAGUGGCCAGUUUCUCCGUCCACCGUUUCUCUCACCUGAGCUCAACCGAAAAUGUGAAGUGGAAAUGCCAGAAAAAAAUCCUCUCCCAUCUCUGAUCCAUCUGGAAAACAUCUGGUUCCCGGGUACGGCAGGAUGCAGCGUCCCUGUCCCAGCCGGCUUCCCCAUCAUUCCGCCCAGCUCAGUGACUAAUCCUUUCUUCCCGGCCCAUGAGAAAUCGCUGUCCUCACCAAAACCCCAACUCCUGCCAGCGCCCUGGUGUUGAAGAGGAACAGCUAUGCGCCCCUGCCCCACAGUGGAUUGGCCCUGAGAUGUCCCUGCCUCAAGUGCAGCCCCAGGAGGAUGCUGGAUUCCGCUGGUGGAGGCGGCAGCCGCGGGGAACCCACGGUGCUGCUCAGGGCAGGGGCUCCAAACAUCCCAGCAGGAGAACGGAAGGCCCUGCGGUGGGGCAUUCUCAAAGCACCCAGCAUGCACGCCCCUCUGCCCCCAGCCAGCCUCUUCCGUUCUCGAUUCUCUGAGCUCAGGGCUGCUGGACUCUGAUGGGUGGAAAAUCCACUUAUACAUUUUUUCUUACUUAUACAUUGUCAUAUUUUCCAAAAUGACUAUAAUGAAACGCGUCCUUGUUCGCUUUCUUUAAAAAGCUGUAUUGUUAGAAAAGGAAGAGGAAGAGGGGGGAAAUGCAUAAGCAGCAGGGUCCAUGUGUCCCACCUCCAGCAGCCAGGUGCUCGCUCCCCAGUCCUACCCUCUGCUCCCCA